rnacentral:tRNA from 1 species
GGGGGUUUAGCUCAGCUGGCUAGAGUACUUGCCUGGCAGGCAAGGGGUCACCGGUUCGAAUCCGGUAAUCUCCA